UACGUAGGGUGCAAGCGUUAAUCGGAAUUACUGGGCGUAAAGCGCACGCAGGUGGCUGAGUCAGUCGAUUGUGAAAGCCCUGGGCUUAACCUGGGAAUUGCAGUCGAUACUACUCAGCUAGAGUAUGGGAGAGGGUAGUGGAAUUCCCGGUGUAGCGGUGAAAUGCGUAGAUAUCAGGAGGAACACCGGUGGCGAAGGCGGUUCUCUGGGCAUGUCCUGACGCUGAGGAGCGAAAGUGUGGGGAGCGAACAGG
rnacentral:rRNA from 1 species